rnacentral:rRNA from 1 species
GGCGAGCUGACGGAGCACGCCGCGUGAGUGAUGAAGGUCUUCGGAUCGUAAAACUCUGUUAUUAGGGAAGAACAAAUGUGUAAGUAACUAUGCACGUCUUGACGGUACCUAAUCAGAAAGCCACGGCUAACUACGUGCCAGCAGCCGCGGUAAUACGUAGGUGGCAAGCGUUAUCCGGAAUUAUUGGGCGUAAAGCGCGCGUAGGCGGUUUUUUAAGUCUGAUGUGAAAGCCCACGGCUCAACCGUGGAGGGUCAUUGGAAACUGGAAAACUUGAGUGCAGAAGAGGAAAGUGGAAUUCCAUGUGUAGCGGUGAAAUGCGCAGAGAUAUGGAGGAACACCAGUGGCGAAGGCGACUUUCUGGUCUGUAACUGACGCUGAUGUGCGAAAGCGUGGGGAUCAAACAGGAUUAGAUACC